AGAGUUUGAUCCUGGCUCAGAACGAACGCUGGCGGCGUGCUUAACACAUGCAAGUCGAGUGCGCGUACCGUAGCAAUACGGUAUGGCGCACGGCGCACGGGUGCGUAACACGUGGGCAAUCUGCCCUCCGAUGGGGAAUAACUCCGGGAAACCGAAGCUAAUUCCGCAUAACAUUCCCUGGACUCCGGUUCGGGGAUUCA
rnacentral:rRNA from 1 species